rnacentral:misc_RNA from 1 species
UACGGAGGGUGCAAGCGUUGUCCGGAAUUAUUGGGCGUAAAGAGCUCGUAGGCGGCUUGUCGCGUCGUCUGUGAAAACCCGAGGCUCAAACUCGGGCCUGCAGUCGAUACGGGCAGGCUAGAGCUCGGUAGGGGAGACUGGAAUUCCUGGUGUAGCGGUGAAAUGCGCAGAUAUCAGGAGGAACACCGGUGGCGAAGGCGGGUCUCUGGGCCGAAACUGACGCUGAGGAGCGAAAGCGUGGGGAGCGAACAGG